rnacentral:rRNA from 1 species
AUUGAACGCUGGCGGCAGGCCUAACACAUGCAAGUCGAACGGUAACAGGAAGCAGCUUGCUGCUUCGCUGACGAGUGGCGGACGGGUGAGUAAUGUCUGGGAAACUGCCUGAUGGAGGGGGAUAACCACUGGAAACGGUAGCUAAUACCGCAUAAUGUCGCAAGACCAAAGAGGGGGACCUUCGGGCCUCUUGCCAUCGGAUGUGCCCAGAUGGGAUUAGCUAGUAGGUGGGGUAACGGCUCACCUAGGCGACGAUCCCUAGCUGGUCUGAGAGGAUGAACAGCCACACUGGAACUGAGACACGGUCCAGACUCCUACGGGAGGCAGCAGUGGGGAAUAUUGCACAAUGGGCGCAAGCCUGAUGCAGCCAUGCCGCGUGUAUGAAGAAGGCCUUCGGGUUGUAAAGUACUUUCAGCGGGGAGGAAGGCGAUAAGGUUAAUAACCUUGUCGAUUGACGUUAUCCGCAGAAGAAGCACCGGCUAACUCCGUGCCAGCAGCCGCCGUAA